UACGAAGGGUGCAAACGUUGCUCGGAAUUAUUGGGCGUAAAGCGCACGUAGGCGGCAUUGUAAGUCGGAUGUGAAAUCCCUCGGCUCAACCAAGGAAGUGCAUCCGAAACUGCAGUGCUUGAGUACUUAAGAGGAUCGCGGAAUUCCCGGUGUAGAGGUGAAAUUCGUAGAUAUCGGGAGGAACGCCAGUGGCGAAGGCGGCGAUCUGGGAAGAUACUGACGCUGAGGUGCGAAAGCGUGGGGAGCAAACAGG
rnacentral:rRNA from 1 species